UGUAAAGAGGAGAUGACCCAUCAAAACAGCAU
rnacentral:piRNA from 1 species